rnacentral:rRNA from 1 species
GAAUUCCGUGAAUCAUCGAGUCUUUGAACGCAAGUUGCGCCCGAGGCUUGUCCCGAGGGCAUGCCUGCCUGAGCGUCACC